ensembl:lncRNA
CCAGGAUGGGCAAUGACAACUUCCGAGGAAAGAGCAAUUAUUGGAGUUGUAAUGUAAACAAUUCUGACAGCACACACAGAACCAGCUAAUUUCCUGCAGAAAGAUUUUGAUGAUGAAAAUAAUGGAGAAAGUUGGGGCACUGGAUCCUUUAAAGAAAGAAGAAAAAUGAGCAAGAAAGGGGAACCAGGGAUAUUAGAAAGCUGGCAUCUCCUAAUUUGCUAUUUUUGGUAGGGCCAGAUUUAUGGAAAUAAAUUAAACACAAGUG